rnacentral:lncRNA from 1 species
AGGCUGGUAGUGUUUACAUAACAUGCUGAUUAGUCACUGAAGAACGCCUCUCUGCAAUAAACGUGCCCAGUCUUUUGCCCUGCAUUUGCUCACAUACCCUCUCUCUCUCUCUCUCUACUUGUGUAAAAAGGCACCAGUGAAUGCAGUUGUCAUCUCUGUGUGCAAGCCUGCCCUGUGGCUUUAGGCUUGGGACUGGCUUCCUGGGCUCGGAGGGAGGGAGAGCUAUUCAGAAGUGGUAAUUGGUGUACUGUAUCUUUAAAAGGUUAAAACCCCUUUCAGAAAAGGUCUGAACUCAGAGUGGAGGAGCCAAGCCAGGCAGGGGUUGGCUCUGGAUUCAGAAAACAGCUGCUGAUUAGAUUCCGUGUCUGCAGGCUGAAUUUAUUCCGUGUUUUUCAGCAGCAGGAAUUCAAGAGGGAUGCUACUGUUUGGGUUUCUGAUCGUGAUUUAUAUUUAUUCAGAGGAAUAACAGAGGGUGGAUCUGUUCCCGGCGUGAGCAUGCUCACAACCAGCCGACUCUCCCAUUAUCCAACUGCCUAGUUUGGUGCUUCAAUGUACAUGUACAUUUCGUGUGCAUAUGUGUGUAUACAAACACGCAUGCAUGCCUGGAUGGACAUAUGUGUGCACAGGUUAUUUUUUACGGACAAUUCCUUCAAUAAGGUCUUUACCCCUCACUUGAAACAGGUGUACAGGAAAGAAAUGCACAAAAUCCUGACCGAUCGGAAUAAUUCAUGAAGAAGGGGCUGGAUCCGUGGGUCAGAGAACACAGGACCAGUCUGCGUCCCAAGACCGAAGAUACCAGCAAUGACCAAGGCUGUCAUAGCAGUUCCCGGGCUGGCCAUCCAGGCCCCACCGGAUGGAGGACACAGCGGCUCUCGCUUUGCAACUGCGCAAGCUGCACCAAAGGCCAGAGACGCUGAAGAAGCAGCGUGAAUCCCGAAGCUUUCAGAAUAACCCGGAGAAAGCUGUCCGUUGAGUGGCAGCCCGUUUUGCCGCGGGACGUUGUAAGAAGAGACCUCCCCUUCCUCACCGCUCCCAUCCUCCCUGGACGCCCGUCCUCAUGGGCUCUGAAGACCUCGCAUCCCCCUCGAAGCGUGCUGCUCCUGCUUCAGCCGUGGUAGUUCUGCUUAACCUUCUCUAUGAGAAAAUGUUCAUUUUUUUUUUCCUCCCUCCACCUUCUGGAUUGAACUGUCUUACCUGAAACGGGGUGGUUU